AUUGAACGCUGGCGGCAGGCCUAACACAUGCAAGUCGAGCGGAUGAAGGUAGCUUGCUCCUGGAUUCAGCUGCGGACGGGUGUGUAAUUCCUAGGAAUCUGCCUGGUAUUGUUGGAUAACGUCCGGAAACGGGCGCUAAUACCGCAUACGUCCUUAGUGUGAAAUUUGGGGAUCUUCUGUCCUCACGCUUUCAUAUGUCCCUAGGUCGGAUUAGCUAGUUGGUGGGGUAAAGGCCUACCAAGGCGACGAUCCGUAACUGGUCUGAGAGGAUGAUCAGUAACACUGGAACUGAGACACGGUCCAGACACCUACGGGAGGAAGCAGUGGGGAAUAUUGGACAAAGGGCGAAAGCAUGAUACAGCAAAGCCGCGUGUGUGAAGAAGGUCUUCGGAUUGUAAAGCACGUUAAGUUGGGAGGAAGGGAAGUAAGUUAAUAACUUGCUGGUUUGACGUUACCAACAGAAUAAGCACCGGCUAACUUCGUG
rnacentral:rRNA from 1 species